AUACGUAGGGGGCAAGCGUUGUCCGGAAUUACUGGGCAUAAAGAGUGCGUAGGCGGCAAGUUAAGUCAGAUGUGAAAGUCCAAGGCUCAACCAUGGAAUUGCAUAUGAAACUGGUUUGCUUGAGUGCAGGAGAGGAGAGCGGAAUUCCUAGUGUAGCGGUGAAAUGCGUAGAUAUUAGGAAGAACACCAGUGGCGAAGGCGGCUCUCUGGACUGUAACUGACGCUCAGGCACGAAAGCGUGGGUAGCGAACAGGAUUAGAUACCCUGGUAGUCCACGCCGUAAACGAUGAGUGCUAGGUGUCGGGGGUCGAACCUCGGUGCCGGAGUUAACACAUUAAGCACUCCGCCUGGGGAGUACGGUGGCAAGACUUAA
rnacentral:rRNA from 1 species